rfam:Saitoella complicata NRRL Y-17804 DNA, contig: contig056, whole genome shotgun sequence.
GGCCGCCUGGCGCAAUGGUAGCGCGUCGGUUUUCGGUACCGAAGGCUGUAGGUUCGAGUCCUGCGGCGGUCG